rnacentral:lncRNA from 1 species
AAAGAAAAGAAAAGAAAAGAAAAGAAAAGAAAAGAAAAGAAAAGAAAAGAAAAGAAAAGAAAAGAAAAGAAAAGAAAAGAAAAGAAAAGAAAAGACGUUAACAGCCCAGCUUGCAGCUGUGCCAGAUGGAGCGGGUGGAAGUUGCUUCAGGGGGGGCAUGUGUGGGCAAUGGUAGAAGUACAGGAGAGAUCAGUUCUCUCUUUGCUGCUAGAAGCCAAAGUAAUCUCCCUGUGUGGUCAACUGUCAGCUCUUCCUUCUCUCCUUGGGCAGGAGGAAAGGAACUUUCUGUGUCAGCCCCACAAUGCCAUGCUGGAUGGGACACAUGGAAGUAUCUCCAGGAUCCACAGUGGAAGUGGUAGUGAAGGUGCUGCUGGGAGCUGCCUUUUGAAGUCUGGCAAUUACUACUGA